AGCACGUAUUAAAUGCGCGUUUAGGGGUGAUAGGCUUUUCAAACGUUCGUAUAACUUGUUUCAUAUGAAAAGUAUUUAGUACCUAAACAAAUUUGAAAAGUUAAGCUUUUAAAUUAUUAUUAAAGAUAUUAUUCCCUUGUAGUGUAGUUUAAUAGCUAUCUACAUAGUAACUUAACAUUAAUUAUGUUAGUUUAUAUAUUAUAGUAUGACGCUAGCAAUUUUGUUAAUAAAUUGAAAAUGUUAGUAUUAGUAAUAUUAGUAUAUGUGCUAAAGGAACUCGGCAAAAAACCGCUCAACUGUUUAUCAAAAACAUAGCUAUAUGAAUUAGUAUAUAGUUGUUUCUGCUCAAUGACUUAAAUAGCCGCAGUACUCUGACUGUGCAAAGGUAGCAUAAUCAGUUGGCUUUUAAUUAGAGUCUGGUAUGAACGAAAAUAUGGGUAGUAACUGUCUUAGCACAUUUCUUUGAACUUGUUAAACAAGUGCAAAUACUUGUAAUUAAACAAUAGACGAGAAGACCCUAGAAACUUGGACAUGUUUUUGUUGGGGCGACAGAAUUACAUUUAACUAAUCUUCUAAUACAUGACGCGAUGCUGGAAGAAUAAGUUACUCUAGGGAUAACAGCAUAAUUUCAUUAGUUUGUGACCUCGAUGUUGGACUAGGUACUAUACCCUUAAGGCAAGGAUAUAUUGUGCUCUGUUCGAGCAAAAUUACCUACAUGAUCUGAGUUCAGACCG
rnacentral:rRNA from 1 species